UUUCCACUGUGCCACGAUGGGAACUCCUGUUGUUGUUUUUAAAUGUCGAUCAGAUCUCAAUAAAGUGAUUUUAAAACUGCAGUCGUUCUCAGGUGGGACUCCGAUUCCCGAGGCAUAUGGAAGUUCCCCGGCUAGGGAUCGAAUCUGAGUUGCAACUGCAACCUACACCACAGCUGUGGCUAGGCCAGAUCUUCAACCCACUGGAUCUAAGGCAGUGCCGGAUCCUUAGCCAGCUGCUCCACAGUGGGAACUCCAAGAAGAGAUUUAUUAACAUAGGAUGCUUGUGAAGGACACAGGCAGAGGGCCUUGCCCUGAGAACCAAGGGGGCUGCGUUUUUAUAAUCAGAGGAGAAGUGGGGAGGGAGAGAAGACUGCCUCUGCCUCUUCCUUUUUUAAAGACAUUGUAGGAAAAUGCAGCAGGAGGAUGCUCAUGGCCCAGGUCUCAGGCGAGUUCUUGGGACAGGCAGCCACCGGAGGGUCCUUGGCUUCAUGCAGGAAAGAACAAGAGCAAGCAUACAGUAAAGUGAAGGCAGUGAUAUGCAGCCCAUUGCUCAGCCUCAAAAGGCCAGAGUGGCCCUGAAAUUCAGGGUGGUGAGUUUUUACGCGCUGGGUAACUUCAUCGGCUCACGAGUGGGAAGGUUAUUCCAGCGAUUAUUCCCUCCUGUCUCAGUGUGAAAAUCCAAUAUUAAUAAAUCUCAGAAGUUGGAAAAAAAUAGUAAUAAUAGAUGGCACUUGUCAUCGAUAAGUGAAAGCAGUCAGAGCCAGAAGCUGCAUGUGAUUCCAUGCAGGUGAAAUUCCCAGAAAAGGGGCCUCUGAUCAAAGGCAGAUCAACAGCUGCCAGGGGCUAGAGCUGGGAGCCAAGCAGCUUCUAGUUAACAGAGCACUCGGUGAAACUCAAAGUAAUGCCAUGAAAUCCUCUAAAUUUCACAUCGACGGCAAAUGGGCAGAGGGAACUCGAAAAUGCUCUAAAAAUGGGCUGUACAAUGCAUACCUUUACUAAGCAUCACCAAACUGUAACCCUGAAAGGGAUGGAUCAGCCUAGGUGGCAGCCAGGGCUCAGAUUCCAUCCCCAGCCAGGAAUUUCCAUAUGCUGGGGGUGUGGCCGAAAAAGGGGGGGAAUUCCCCAUUUAGGAGUUUCCUGGAGGCCUAGAGGUUAAAGACUCAAUGUUGUCACUGCUGGGGCUCAGGUCGCUGCUGUGGCACAGGUUCAGUCCCUGGCAGGAACUUUCGAGUGUCGCGGGCACAGCCAAAGACAAAAUCCCACUUGGAGGAUUUCACAGGGUUACUGUGCGGGCUCUGAUACCCAGAAGCGGCUUGGCAAACGCAGGAGCUGUCACUAUGACCUCAGUGACAGUCCUGAGUUUUGAAGAAGCAGGUCCCCGAGGCUUGGCUGCCGGAUCCCUGGGACUCACCAGCCUGGACCCUGAUUCCCAUUCCACACGGGGGAGGCAUUUCACGGAAACUUAACUGUGUGUUUUGCAUAAAUAUGCAGAAUGGCCCUCCCUUCUCAUGAGACAGCCUGGGUGGCGGCGGCCACAGCCUCUCCGCAGCCGCUAAGCACCUGCUUCAGCUGGUCCCCCCAGGCCCCAGGACGGGGCCGAGACUCACUCUGCAGCACAAGGACCACCACUUUCUCCACGGCGCCCAUCUCAUUCUCCGCCAGGCACUGGUACUGUCCCGCGUCGUCCAUCUGCAGUGACGCAACUCAGGAAGAAUGCUGGCUCAGAUUGACUUCGGAGUGGCAGCACCACCGUGAGAUGGAGCUGGGGCAGCUGGAGGCCCCUGUCCACGCCCAGAAGGACGCCCACCGUUUCCAUUUUGCGAGGAAAAUCCAGCCUCCAAAAGGCCGAAUCUCUCAAGCUCCCUGCCAGGAGGUGCUGGGUUUGGGGCAAAGCCUUCUUCACAGGUGCGCAAAGGUGAGCUGCUCGGGGUUCCCCACCCCUGGACUCGGGUGUAGGAGGGUCUGAAUAUCCGUUUGCAGUGGAGGGGACUGAGCAAUUCCUCCAUUCAGUGGACAUUUAUUGAGCACCUCCUGUAUACAGCACAGGGGCUGUGGAUGCCCCAGGGCCUCCCUAAACACCUCCUGGGACGCAGAUAGGAGGAAAGAGCCCCAGGAAAAGUUUGCCAAGAUGCUCACAAUGAGAGCAGCAGCGCUGGCUGGAGCACAGACCCCUCUCCUGGCCUGAGGUCUCCAGAGUUGCGUAUAUUUUGCAGGUGGCUCCUGGCCGGGUCUGACAUGUGCCUGGUCAUUUAGGGCCACACGUGUGUUUGCCCUGACCCCCACACGCAGGGCCAAGUCUGGAGACUCAGAACCCCCAGGCAACUGGCACCUUCUUCCUCUCCACCAGGUUGGGUUGCCCUACCUGUGCCCCUGCCCUCCUCAACCUCCCAGGGACCAGGUCCUGUCCCACCUGCCCUCA